GACGAACGCUGGCGGCGUGCUUAACACAUGCAAGUCGAACGGAAAGGCCCUGCUUUUGUGGGGUGCUCGAGUGGCGAACGGGUGAGUAACACGUGAGUAACCUGCCCUUGACUUUGGGAUAACUUCAGGAAACUGGGGCUAAUACCGGAUAGGAGCUCCUGCUGCAUGGUGGGGGUUGGAAAGUUUCGGCGGUUGGGGAUGGACUCGCGGCUUAUCAGCUUGUUGGUGGGGUAGUGGCUUACCAAGGCUUUGACGGGUAGCCGGCCUGAGAGGGUGACCGGCCACAUUGGGACUGAGAUACGGGCCAGAAUCCUACGGGGGGCAGCAGUGGGGAAUAUUGCACAAUGGGCGGAAGCCUGAUGCAACAACGCCGCGUGCGGGAUGACGGCCUUCGGGUUGUAAACCGCUUUCGCCUGUGACGAAGCGUGAGUGACGGUAAUGGGUAAAGAAGCACCGGCUAACUACGUG
rnacentral:rRNA from 1 species